CAUGGUUCAGCGCAGCCCGCUCAGGGUUUACUUUAAGACGGGACUCCAAGAACUUCGCUUUCGGCUUUUUCUAUGAAAGGACCAUUGUUGGUAUUUCAUGUGAACAGUGUUACAUUUAUUUCAAAUACCGUCUCAAGUUUUUGAGGGUGGUUUUAUCUGGCAGUAAAGGGAAGAGGCAGAGUUUCUUCAAGAGUUUCUCUCAACUUUAAAUCCCGGUCUUUAAGCCAUGGCGUGCGAAGUAAACGGUAUGUCGGAUGCGAGGAUAGGAGAAGCCCUGAUCAAAGAGGUCAUAGAGGAGGAGCUGAAGGACAUGCCCGCAGAGGAGGUCCCGCCCCUCACUCCGCUCGCUGCCAGAGUAGAGAGUGAGCAGGAGCAGAGGCUGGUGACUCAGCUGGCCAAAAUGGUGUGCAUCAUCGGGGACCGGGUCGCAGGCGACCAGGAGCUCCGA